rnacentral:rRNA from 1 species
GAUGAACGCUGGCGGCGUGCCUAAUACAUACAAGUCGAGCGAACGGACGAGAAGCUUGCUUCUCUGAUGUUAGCGGCGGACGGGUGAGUAACACGUGGAUAACCUACCUAUAAGACUGGGAUAACUUCGGGAAACCGGAGCUAAUACCGGAUGAUAUUUUGAACCGCAUGGUUCAAAAGUGAAAGACGGUCUUGCUGUCACUUAUAGAUGGAUCCGCGCUGCAUUAGCUGGUUGGUAAGGUAACGGCUUACCAAGGCAACGAUGCAUAGCCGACCUGAGAGGGUGAUCGGCCACACUGGAACUGAGACACGGUCCAGACUCCUACGGGAGGCAGCAGUAGGGAAUCUUCCGCAAUGGGCGAAAGCCUGACGGAGCAACGCCGCGUGAGUGAUGAAGGUCUUCGGAUCGUAAAACUCUGUUAUUAGGGAAGAACAUAUGUGUAAGUAACUGUGCACAUCUUGACGGUACCUAAUCAGAAAGCCACGGCUAACUACGUG